rnacentral:lncRNA from 1 species
UAUGCAAUCCCAAGUUAACGGCCAAGCACAGCAACUUCCUGUACCUAUGGUGGCCAAUCAAACUCAAACACGACAACCACUGUUGCAGCAAAACCUUCAGAACAAUAUGGCAUCAACUGGGCUGCAAAUUUCUGCUAGCUUGGCUCCAUCACUUCCUUCUGUGAGUAAUUUGACGCAGGGUACCAUGCCAAAUGUCGUGGGCCAGAAUUCAAAUUUGCAAACCAUGCAAAACAUGCCAAAUGUUGGUCAAAACUUAGUAGGAAAUGCCAUUGGGCAAGGCAUGCCACCUAAUAUGGUUGCUAAUUCUCAGAGGCAGAUGCAGGGAAGACAACAACAGGUUGUUUCUCAACAGCAACAGCAGCAGUCCCAGACAACACAGCAAUAUCUUUACCAGCAGCAACUGCAUCAGCAUCAAAUGAUGAAGCAGAAAUUUCAGCCGGGAAGCACAUCACAGUCCUUGAUGCAAUCUCACAUGCAGCAACAGCAACAGCAACAGCCUCAGGAGCAGCAGCAACAACCGCCACAGCAGCAACAAAACCUUCUACAACCUACUCAGACACAACCUUCUCAGCAAGCUAUGAUGCAACCUUCUUCAAUACAAUCAACUUCUUUGUCCAACCUUCAGCAGAAUCAACAGUCAACUGCUCAACAGUCAACUCAAUCUGUACUUCACCAACGGCAACAAUCAGUUAUGAGACAGCAGCAGGCGCCCAUGCUUCAUCAACAGCAAUCAUCAAUGCUACAGCAACCAAUUUUACCAGCACAACAGCACCAACAACAACAGCAGCAGCAGCAGCAGCAGCAGCAGCUGAUUGCACAACAGACAAAUGUUGCAAAUCUCCAGCAGAACCAAUUGAUGAGUCAACAGAAUACAAUGCCUGAUGUGCAGCAGAGGCUAGUGGGCCAACAGAACAACUAUAACAGUCUGCAGCAGCAGCAGUUACUUAAUCCACAAAACAGCUUUCAAAAUAUGCAUCAGCAGCAGUUGGGCUCUCAAAGUAAUAUUGCUGGGGUCCAGCAGCAACAGCUGUCUGGAAGUCAACAACCUGGUAACUCUGGCUUGACAUCUAAUCAGCACCCUAUCCAUUUGAUGCAACAACCAAAAGUUCCUGUACAACAACAAAUGCUGCAGAGUACUACAACCUUGUUACCAAAUCAAGGUCAACAAUCGCAGUCGCAGCCAGCACAACAGCAAAUGAUGUCUCAGAGCCAAUCACAACCAGGACAGUUACAGCCACCUUUGGGUUUGCAGCAACAGGCGAAUCAAUUGCAAAGGGAGAUGCAACAGAGGCUUCAACCAUCAGCCCCCUUGCUUCAACAGCAGAAUGUAAUGGAACAGCAGAAGCAGCUAUAUCAAUCACAAAGAGUCGCACCUGAAGCCUCAUCAAGUAUGUAUUUUUCUUAAUCAAAGAUUUCAAUUAGG